GAUUUCUGGCUUGGUGCGCGCCGUCCGCUUCGGUUUCGGAGUGAGUGCGGUUGUGCGCCUGCCAUCCUUCUGGUUAGUAUGCUGUGCCCUUCACUGGGUGUCAGGUGCUAAUUGGAUCUUUUACUUUGAAAAAAUUAGAGUGUUCAAAGCAGGCUCGCGCUAUGAAUACAUUAGCAUGGAAUAAUAAUUUAGGACUUUUGUCCUAUUUUGUUGGUUUCUAGGACGAAAGUAAUGAUUGAUAGGGAUAGUUGGGGGUGCUAGUAUUCAGCGGCCAGAGGUGAAAUUCUUGGAUUCGCUGAAGACUAACUUAUGCGAAAGCAUU
rnacentral:rRNA from 1 species